GUGCUCGCUUCAGCAGCACAUAUCCUAAAAUUGGAAUGAUACAGAGAAGAUUAGCAUGGCCCCUGCACAAGGAUGACAGGCGAGUUCAUGAGAAAAAGGACACACAU
ensembl:snRNA LOC120095815 U6 spliceosomal RNA